rnacentral:lncRNA from 1 species
CACUAAUUAUAUUUUACACUAAUAUAUCUCUCAAUGUAGAUUAACUGUUAUUUCGGUUUGAGAGAGACAUUGUUUCGAAGCGUCAAAAAUAUUCCUGAUUUUACGUUUUUUUUUUUUUUUUGCGAAAACUACUCGAGCAGAAUUUUAAUCAUAUCUUACGCCUACGCUAAAAAAAUUAUUAUCAAAUAAACAUAUCUAUUUUAGUAUCAUUUAUCGUUUAAAGAUUUUGUAAAUUUGUGAAGAAAUUAUAUUUUGUACUUGCUAAGAUUUAUUUAUACAUAGAAAACGAUAGUAAAAUAAAUACGUUACUUGAUGUAACGAAUUAAUGUUUUCCAGUAUACAUAUGUUGGUCUGUGUUUUACACAAAAUUUUCAAGUAGAAAUAUUAAAAACAGCGCCGGCACAACUGUUGAUGCCAAGCUCAUCCGUAUAGCAAUAACAAUUUACAAUAAGUAGAAAUUUCUACUUACAUUUGCAGAAAUGGAACAUAAAUAUUUCACCUACUCCAAUUUCGAUAUUGCGUUUGCACGCAAAAUUUACUAACGAUGCGUUAAAAAAAAUACAAGAUAUGCUAAGCGCGAGUGACCUAACCUCGAACUCGCCCUAAUACGAUGUGACUGUGAUAAUUUGAUACAGAUAAUUUGAAAAAAAAAAAGUAAGGAAAGUGUACGAGUUGCCUCUCGAAGUGCGGUCGUUUCAGAAAAACCGAGCCCCCCCCCAAAAAGAACAUAAAUAACCUAACCUAACCUAAACGAUGUAAACAGCAUUCGGUUUCUCAUCGUGAAACACAAAACAACAGAUGAGAAUGGAUAACACGUUGCUUUUAUUUUUUUAUAAUAACGAACGAAUUUGAUAAUCACAUCACGAUUUUUUGUAAUAGUAACGCGACAAGUUACUCGUCAAAAGUGUUUGUUCCGACUCUGGCCUUACCAUUACCGUUACAAAAAAAAAUUGUAACGCCGUUACCAAAUUGUUAUUAUAAAAAAAAACAGCGAUAACGGCAUUACUAGCUAUAAAUAGAUAUCGUUUUUCGACGUGGUCGAGGAAUACGUUGGGGUAGGAACGCGUAACGCGACGCUAAUUUCAGAAUGCGCCGAUACGCCUCUCUCUCUCUCUCUCUCUCUCUCUCUCUCUCUCUCUCUCUCUCUCUCUCUCUCUCUCUCUCUCUCGCUCUUUUGCUCUCUCGCUCUCUCUCGCGCGCGCGUGAGAUCGUAACGCGAAAUUCAUACGCGGGGUGUUUUAACAUUAUGCAAAAAUGAGUUAAUCCGCUUUGAAUACAUUAAAACGUUAUUUCGAUCCAAGCUGCAUACAUAUAUAUAACUUAUUUUUCGAAAUUUCGCGAGUUUACUCGUUUUCACAUAAUAUAUACCCGCUCGUAUUCGAUGAAGCUGGCGCGCUCGCAACGAGGACGUUUGACGAGCGCGCGUCUCCCCUCCCUCUCCUCCCUGUCCCCCUCGCCGACUUUUGAAAUUUUUAACGACUGUAUUCAGUCCUAUCGCGUGGCGCGCGGGCUCGAAUUGCGGUCACUUCGCGCUUCCUGCGUGCCUCUUACCCGCCGAAUGCGAAUCUCGCGUGCGUAGUGCGAGUGUCGGGGAGUGCCGAAUCGAGAAACGGACAAUCGUUUCGAGGACACGAAUGGUGUGAUCGCGAUUAACGCGGUCUUCCGACGUUCCAAGACGGCGAGGUGACAUCUGUCCAUUCACUUAUUGCAUAUGCCGGCCUUUCAGGUUACAUAUACAGCGGAUUAAAAACGGAAAGGAGCCAAACAGAAAAUAGAAACGGAAAAGACAAGUAUGAAAUGCCGCUGCAUAAACUGGUUACAUAUACAGCGGAUUAAAAACGGAAAGGAGCCAAACAGAAAAUAGAAACGGAAAAGACAAGUAUGAAAUGCCGCUGCAUAAACCGGUUACAUAUACAGCGGAUUAAAAACGGAAAGGAGCCAAACAGAAAAUAGAAACGGAAAAGACAAGUAUGAAAUGCCGCUGCAUAAACCGGUUACAUAUACAGCGGAUUAAAAACGAAAAGGAGCCAAACAGAAAAUAGAAACGGAAAA